rnacentral:rRNA from 1 species
UACGAAGGGAGCUAGCGUUGUUCGGAAUUACUGGGCGUAAAGGGUGCGUAGGCUGUUUUGUAAGUUAGAUGUGAAAGCCUCGGUUUCAAGCUGAGAAUAGCAUUUAAUACUGCAAGACUAGAGGAUAAGAGAGGAUAGUGGAAUUCUGAGUGUAGAGGUAAAAUUCGUAGAUAUUCGGAGGAACACCAGAGGCGAAAGCGUCUAUCUGGAUUAAUCCUAACGCUGAGGCACGAAAGUAUGGGGAGCAAACAGG